rnacentral:rRNA from 1 species
AGAGUUUGAUCCUGGCUCAGGACGAACGCUGGCGGUGUGCUUCACACAUGCAAGUCGAACGAGGUAGCAAUACCUAGUGGCGGACGGGUGAGUAACGCGUGGGAAUCUGCCUUUAGAUGGGGGAUAACGAGCCGAAAGGUUCGCUAAUACCGCAUAGGUCGCAAGAUUAAAGGAGUAAUCCGUCUAGAGAUGAGCCCGCGUCCGAUUAGCUAGUUGGUAGGGUAAAGGCCUACCAAGGCGACGAUCGGUAGCUGGUCUGAGAGGAUGAUCAGCCACAAUGGGACUGAGACACGGCCCAUACUCCUACGGGAGGCAGCAGUGGGGAAUUUUACGCAAUGGGCGAAAGCCUGACGUAGCGACACCGCGUGAGCGAAGAAGCCCUUUGGGGUGUAAAGCUCUGUCGGCUGGAACGAAAAAAAUGACGGUACCAGCAAAGGAAGCAUCGGCUAACUACGUGCCAGCAGCCGCGGUAAGACGUAGGAUGCGAGCGUUGUCCGGAUUUAUUGGGCGUAAAGAGUUCGUAGGUGGCUUGCCAAGUUUGAUGUUAAAGAUCGGGGCUCAACCCUGGGACUGCAUUGAAUACUGGCAGGCUUGAGUGUGGUAGAGGCUAGUGGAAUUCCCAGUGUAGCGGUGAAAUGCGUAGAUAUUGGGAAGAACACCGGUGGCGUAGGCGACUAGCUGGGCCAUAACUGACACUGAGGAACGAAAGCCAGGGUAGCGAAUGGGAUUAGAUACCCCAGUAGUCCUGGCCGUAAACGAUGGAUACUAGGCGUAUCGGGUAUCGACCCCUGAUGUGCCGCAGCUAACGCGAUAAGUAUCCCGCCUGAGUAGUACGGCCGCAUGGUUGAAACUCAAAUGAAUUGACGG